UGAUGAUAUAAAUUUGUUUAAUUGAUUGAUAGUACAUAUGUACAUAUUAAAUCUUCUUGGUCAUGAUAAUUGCUUUUCUGGGACUAGUCUUGUCAGUUUUGUUUACUUUAUAUUAUUUUUGGUAUACUGGUGUUCUAUCUAUCCACCGUCUAUCCAGUUCUCUUCUUAUUUUUCUUAUCCAAGUUUGGGAUAAUAUUUUCUUAUAUGGCAAGCAAAUUGAGGAACAUAUUGCUUCUGGUAGAAGCAGAAAUCAUAGAAUCCAGAAAUAUCAUUAAUGAGUGGGUUUAUUUUGCAGGAUACUGCAAAGAGUGUGACAA
rnacentral:misc_RNA from 1 species